CUCGGUUCCCUUGCGAGUUCUUUCUCACCCCUCCCCCAUCAGCUCGUGGAAGCUUGGAGUGUGGAGCACAGCAAACCAAGGGGCCUCCUUUGGGACCCUGUGACAGUGCAGGGCUGCACCUGAGCCCUGUGCCUCUGGACAACAGCCAAGGGCAAUUGCCCACACUUGUAUGUCAGAUGUCUCCCACCCUUUUGUGUUCCAGGAAAUGACUUACUGCAAAGAACCACUCUUCCCCACGAGACUUCGAGAAGACCCGCUGUCACGGACUGAGUUGUGUCCUCUUAAAAUUCAGAUGUUGGAGUCCAAACCCCCAGUAACUCAGAGUGUGAACGUAUUUGAAGAGGUCUUUAAAGAGGUGAUGAAGGGAGAGAGACCCCAUGAGCUCGUCAAGCUCCUUCUGUGACUGAUCAGAGAUCCCACCGUGAGUCCAGCUCCUGGUCCCAUGCUCUGGAUAUAUCGGUCCCUGGCAGCGUGCAGUCUUCUUUCCACCAAUGACCCCUCGCGCUGCUUCCAGAAGCCAAGAAAGUGGGCUUUGUCCUUGGGGAUUUAGGAGGCGGAGCGGCGCCCCCUUGAGGCCACAUGGUGGAGGCAGCGAUGAGACCUGGAGUCUAAAAUUCAGACUGAAUCACAGGAAGAAGCUAUUUACACAAGUCAAACAUGGUCCAAUCUUGGCAAUUUCAUAAGGUUCCAAUCCUUAAGGGAUCAAAACCUGGCCAACUGCUUCCACCGAGAGGUGUGCCUUUCAAUGCCAGGCUUGGAGUGUCCCUCUUUAUUUAAAAAGGAGAGGAUUCCACAGCAGAGCUUCUCAAACUCUUCCACCCAAAUCCCCUCACCACAGAGGGACAGGAGUCCUGGGCAUGUAGCCUAAAGCAGCCAGGAGAAAAAAAC
rnacentral:lncRNA from 1 species